GGGGAAUAUUGCACAAUGGGCGAAAGCCUGAUGCAGCAACGCCGCGUGAGUGAUGAAGGUCUUCGGAUUGUAAAGCUCUGUCUUUUGGGACGAUAAUGACGGUACCAAAGGAGGAAGCCACGGCUAACUACGUGCCAGCAGCCGCGGUAAUACGUAGGUGGCGAGCGUUGUCCGGAUUUACUGGGCGUAAAGGGUGCGUGGGCGGAUGUUUAAGUGAGAUGUGAAAUACCCGGGCUUAACUUGGGUGCUGCAUUUCAAAUUGGAUAUCUAGAGUGCAGGAGAGGAGAAUGGAAUUCCUAGUGUAGCGGUGAAAUGCGUAGAGAUUAGGAAGAACACCAGUGGCGAAGGCGAUUCUCUGGACUGUAACUGACGCUGAGGCACGAAAGCGUGGGUAGCAAACAGGAUUAGA
rnacentral:rRNA from 1 species